CCUGCAAUGAAUAUUAGGAAAAUGCAUUAUAAAUACAGAUGUGGUAACAUAAAAACUGUCAAUUGUCAAUGGUUUCUAAUAAGCAAUAGCUUUCCAUCUGGGAAAGUUUGAUACCUCCAGCUGUUAUGAUUGUUGUUUGUUGUUUGUUUUUGUCAGGGGGAUGAAAAUGAAGGCUCUGAGCUCAUUCCCAAAUUACAGAUUAUCAACAUGUACGAUACGUAAUCAUUCGUCGAUGACAUUAGAAUCUCCCCUAAGGAUGCUUGCUUUGUGUGAAUGGGCUUACACAUGUUCACACCGGUACCAUGUGAAAUGACUUGUAUCAGUUACUUUAAAAAGCAGAAUAGUUUAACAGGGAAAACCUCAAUGACAGUAGCGUUAUCCUAUCAUUGACAGCAUUCGGGGAAAUGACCUUCUGCAGGAAGAGCUUCAAAACAGUGCGACUCAGCUCGCUGUGAUUGUGGAUCUGAAAUGGAUUACGGAAGUCAAGCUCCGGAAGGGAGGAAGUUGAAUGGCAUACCGUUUUGCUUUCUUGAUCUACGUGUGAGCUCCUGGCUGUUCAGCCUGAGGCGCCCCUUGGAGGAGACGUGGAACCUGCCAUGCUAAGCCUGGAGGGAAACUCUCUGAGAAGCUGUGCAUCCCCCAGGGGACCUCUUCUGGAAGGACCCGGAGCGGCUCUAAGAACAGCGGCUUCCUGAGACUGACUGGGAAACUGUUUUGAUUGACGGGUCUCACCAGCACACCAGACCGUGCAGGCAGAUAAGAAGCCCCCUGGGAGAAGAUAUCAGGGAAGGUUGUUCCAUUCCGACUGCUUCUAAAAUCCAUCCCAAACCCUAAAUGCAGAGGCAAAUGGACUCAAAUCCUGGGUGUCUGGGAAGAAUCGGGAGCAGUCUCCUACCAGCACUGCAUGUUCUGGUCCUUAGCGAUCAUGAGGGUCCCCAUGCUCUAAAGAUAAGUGAUGGGAGUAGGCUGGUGGAAGCAAACUGCCCAAACGGAAGGGGAAGUGUGAACACACGAGCCGUGGAACAGCUCCUGCUGUCAGCGUACGUGUGGUGACCCUGGGUCUGGCUUCCCAUCUGAGUGUCAUCCUGAACUUGAAGACCACAGGGAGAUGCUGAUGGAACGAGGACCGUGGUCUCGUAGUUGAUCACCUCUGCAAAAAUCAAAAGGGAUUAUCCAUUUCGAAAAAGUCAGGUGUAGUACUGAAAAAUUUGAUAUAUCAAAUCUGCCAUCUGUUCUUAGUGUGUGUAUCAGCUCUUCCACACCUGUCCUGGAAUAACCUUGGGAAUGAUACCGAUAGGAAGAAGAAGACAAAAAGGAUCAAAAUGGUCAAGUAAAGUUGCGUGAAAAGAAGGUGGCGUUGUUUAGCCCAACUGAACUUACGGAUAAUCCUUAUUCUUUAAAGCUAUUAAGGCUGAAGCCAGAAAUAAGUAAUUCUUGUUUGAAGCCUUCCGAUGGGGUGUUGGGGAUGGGUAAAAUGCUGUUGUGUGAGCUACAACUGCGAGGGAGGUGAAGUCCACUCUCGCCCAUUCACAUUCCUGCCUGCAACAUAAGACACAGCCCCCCAGGGCACCUGUGACCUUGGCUCAUGCUGCUGAAUAAAGCAUUUCAGGGAGGGCCAGGCCCCGAUUGAAGGCCUAGCUCCGAGUGCUGUAGUGUUCAGGGCCACCCCCUGUUGCUCGGGGGCUAAGUUUUACCCUGGAUCACUUCCAUUCUCACGGACCCCAUUCAGUUUAUGGGAUCCAUGGCCAAUCAUAGUUCAAAAAGUUAGCAUUUCAUAGUUUACUUUUCAAGAUCUCCUUAGGCCUCUAUGUUGCCAUAUAUAAACACAAAUAAAAAAGAACUAACCAGUUAUUUUUGUGGCUCUUCAUCAUGCUCUUCAAAAAUGUUUGGGACAGAAUAAACUAUAUAAUGUAGAAGUGAA